rnacentral:lncRNA from 1 species
UACUCAUCACCACAUAAUAAAACCAACCUUCAUGUACAUUUGAGAUCAAUUAACCGCUACAUAAUUUCUUGGUUUCAUUCUCUCAACCGACCAUCAUUCUCUUGACAGUUACAAUUUUAUUUGCUCAAACGCUCAUCAUCCUUUUGGAAGUCAUGAUUUCAUUCUCUCAACUACUCAUCAUCCUCUCGGCGGCUCUCAAUGCUUUGAAAUUAAAAUUUAUUCUAUCUUCAUCCCACAAAAGAAAAAUUUAAACUUUAAGAGCUUUCAUAUGAAGGUUCCUCCUUAUCCAUAUUCAAUUAUAACUUUUUUUCACCAUUCUCUUCCAUAAUAUAUUCAUUAAACUUAUUAAUGGGGAAAUUUGUAGGUGAUAGAGAGUCGGUUGCAAAGGUAUGAUAUGCGAUCGAAGGGCGAGUCUUUGACAAGAAACAUAUAGGUUUUGUAGGUCGUCCCAUGGUGGAGAUGAACACAACGCAAAGCAUGGUGCAUAUACUACUGACUCAGAAAAUGUCAUUCAUGGUGACAGUGAGAUUUUCUUUUACAUAUUCUGUAGUCUCUUUUAUUUCAUUUGUAUUUUUAUUAUAUUUCUUCUUUUAAUAAUAAGAAUAUUUUUAACCUCUGUUUUGAUAAUGGUUUUUCUAUUCCGGAGCUUGCAUAUGGGAGAUUAUUUCUUUACAUUUUUACAAACUGUGUUAUUCAUAAUCAAAUUUAUCUUUGGUAUAUAGAUGUUGUUAAUAACAAAAUUCUCUUCCAAAAAUCAUAAAGGUUCAAUAUGGACCCAAAGAUGAAAUUGGAGUGUUUCUCACUUCCCAUUUUCUAAACAGCAUCUAACUUGAAUUGAAAUAUGUCAAAUUUGUCUCUCUAUUCAACUUAAACACAAUUUUCUCUUGCAAUUACACAUAUAAAUUUUUUUUCCAAAUCUAUAUUAACUUUUUUAUUCUUGACAGUAAAGAUUAACAUUUAGUUGUGAACAUAAUGCUAUAAAUAUGAAUAUUUCGUUUACCUGCUAUUGAAUCAAACUCUUUUAUUUGUUUAGUUUUUUUUCUGAUGGUAAAUACUAAAUAUAGAGUUUUUAAUGAGUUUGGUGAAAGUAUAUAUAUAGUUAUAGUUUAAGCAUUUUGGUGUAGCUUUAUGUUUGAUGGUGAUAUAAGAGUAUUUUAGGAACCACAAUACAAGUUACAACAGAGUGAGGUUUCAAUAAAAUUUUGGAGUUUUGUUUUAUAUUACUUUCCUUUCUCCAUAUAAAAGGACAAUUUUCUCAUUUGGAAAAUCAAAAGUGAAGUAACAACGUUAUUGUUGUUGUGUUGUAAACUUUUGAUAAGAGAAUACUUUCUAAAAAUGACUAAAGAAUUGUAGGUUGUCACUUUCUAUUUUCUUUUUUUUCUUUAUAAUAUUUCAACUUAAUUUAGAUUUUUUCCCCAACUUUGGUUGCAUUUUUCAUAUAUUUAUUUUUCAAUAUUUUCAAUUAUAGUGUAAAAAUCAUUUCAAUGAAAUCAAAUGGAAAAGUCAAAAUAAUGUUAGGCCUACUGGAAUUGAAAUGCAUAUUUAGUAUAUGCAAUGUAUCCAUUAUGCAUCCUUAUAACAUCAAUCAAUGUGAAUCAAAGUUUAAUUAAUAGAACAGAAAAUUAAAAUGAUAGUAUGUCUAUUUAAUUUAACACAAUAAAAAUAUCUAUGAAAUUUAAUAUAUUUGAUACUUUUAUAUAAUUUUUUUAUUAAUGUUCUUAAAUUGUAGGAAGAGAGAGAGAGAGAGAGAGAGAGAGAGAGAGAGAGAGAGAGAGAGAGGAGAUAAAUCAUAUCACAAAGUUUUUUACAAAAACAGUUUAUAUUAAAACAAAAUUAAACAAAAAAUACACGUUUAUAUUUUGACACGUGUGAAUAUUAAAAAAAGCGGACAAAAAAUUUAUUUCGGAUUUAAAGUGAAAUGGAAACUCUUAUAUAAGGAGGAAGUGAGGGAGCACCUAGAUCCAAAACAAUAAUGGAAAAUUGGAUAAAAAAUGGGGAAAUUAAAAUUAGGGUUUGGAAAUGAAUAAUAAAAAAAAUUAAGAAAAAAAUAAAAGAAGAAAGAUGAAUUUUGUUUUGUGUGUUGUGUUAGUGUAUGAUUAACGAAUGAAUGUGAUAUGUAUCCUUAAAUGAAAAAAUUACCCUUUAACUUCCUUUUGGAUUUAUAAAUUUAUCAUUACAGAGAAACUGUUUAUGACAAAAUUAUCCUUUAUGACAAAUUACCUUUUAACUUCCUCUUUGUCUUUAUAAAUUUAUCAUUAAGAGAAAACUUUUUUAUAUUUUAUUUUUCUACUCAUCACCACAUAAUAAAACCAACCUUCAUGUACAUUUGAGAUCAAUUAACCGCUACAUAAUUUCUUGGUUUCAUUCUCUCAACCGACCAUCAUUCUCUUGACAGUUACAAUUUUAUUUGCUCAACCGCUCAUCAUCCUUUUGGAAGUCAUGAUUUCAUUCUCUCAACUACUCAUCAUCCUCUCGGCGGCUCUCAAUGCUUUGAAAUUAAAAU